AAAACUAGAAACAAUGAAAGCCCUACCUCUCUUUCAUGCUUACGGCUCCUAGGCCGUGCCUGCUACGAACAAAGUCUUGAGUUUUUUU
rfam:Bacillus endophyticus strain Hbe603, complete genome.